GCCCGUUAAUGGGUGAUGGCGUGCCUUUUGUAGAAUGAACCGGCGAGUUACGAUUUGAUGCAAGGUUAAGCAGUAAAUGUGGAGCCGUAGCGAAAGCGAGUCUGAAUAGGGCGUUUAGUAUUUGGUCGUAGACCCGAAACCAGGUGAUCUACCCUUGGUCAGGUUGAAGUUCAGGUAACACUGAAUGGAGGACCGAACCGACUUACGUUGAAAAGUGAGCGGAUGAACUGAGGGUAGCGGAGAAAUUCCAAUCGAACCUGGAGAUAGCUGGUUCUCUCCGAAAUAGCUUUAGGGCUAGCCUCAAGUGAUGAUUAUUGGAGGUAGAGCACUGUUUGGACGAGGGGCCCCUCUCGGGUUACCGAAUUCAGACAAACUCCGAAUGCCAAUUAAUUUAACUUGGGAGUCAGAACAUGGGUGAUAAGGUCCGUGUUCGAAAGGGAAACAGCCCAGACCACCAGCUAAGGU
rnacentral:rRNA from 1 species